GGCUGUCACCGAGCGCCUGGCACGGCCGGGCCAUGCCCCGGGGAAGGAGGGACCAGGGCCGGGGGCGGGAGCCAGCCCUUGUGCUCGCAGCCCUGGGUUCGGAGCCCAGCUGCCCGGGAAGGUUUCCAGAUCUCCCUGAGCCUCAGUUUCCCCAUCUGUAAACUGGGUGGUGGUGGCUUCGUCCCCCGCUUUGAGAGGACAGCAGGAGAGGCGUCCUGAGAAGUGAGUUCGCCUGGAAGCUGCCGGGCUGUAGUUUGCGUUGAUACCACCGAUCUUCCCGGUCACUCUAGGAGACGGGCCAUAUCCCCGUUUUACAAAUGAGGAAACUAACUCAGCGAGGGGAGACGCCGUGUCCAGGGACACACAGUAAGCAGGUGGCCCAGGAGGACCCCAGAACCCGGCUGGAGGUGGCGGUGGGGGGCGAGGGGUGCCUGCGGAAGGAGAGGAACAGGAGCAGCGGGAGUGCACAUUUGCGAGCGGGUGAAAAUUUCUGUGAAUGUUUAUAAGCACAUGGAACGGGCAUCUUUGUGGCUGCGGGAGUUGCACGGGUCACUCAUGAGGCCGCCCACGUGGCGCUUGUUGCUUCACCUCUCGAGUAACUGACGGUAUGUUCUGGCCCUCAGCUCUCCCGGGCAGUGUCCAUCACACUCAUGGCUUCCUAGACUUCCAUCUCCGGUCUAAUCACCUUCCGAACGCCAGAACCAUCACGUCUGCUGCCCUUGAACACCUCCCCUAGGUGUCCCUGUGGGCCACCCAGGUUCCCUCCACCCCAGUCUUCCCCACCUGCUUCUCCUUCAUGCUUCCCUCUCAGGGAGUUUGAGACCAGGCUGACCAACAUGGAGAAACCCCGACUCUACUAGAAAUACAAAAUCAGCUGGGUGUGGUGGCGCAUGCCUGUAAUCCCAGCUACUCGGGAGGCUGAGGCAGAAUUGCUUGAGCCUGGGAGGCGGAGGUUGCAGUGAGCCGAGAUUGCACCAUUGCACUCCAGCCUGGGCAACAAGAGCAAAACUCCGUCUCAAAAAAAAAAAAAAAAAAAAAGUAAAAGUAAAAGAAAGUCAAUCACCAAUAAUGCUGGAAUAUGUCAACUUUUCUCCCACCUCUUGCCACUGAUCCAGACCCCAUUCCCUCUGCCCGGGUGAUCCCUUAUAGCUACCCAGGGCUGCGGCUUUGCUCCAUUCAAGCCAUUUUCCACGCAGCAGCAGCCAGGGCCGUCUUUCCAGAGUGUAUUAGGUUGGUGCAAAAGUAACUGUGGUUUUUGCAAUUAAAAGUAAUUGUAGGCCAGGCACAGCGGCUCAUGCCUGUAAUCGCAGCACUUUGGGAGGCUAAGACAGUUGGAUCACUUGAGGUCAGGAGUUCGAGACCCACCUGGCCAACAUAGUGAAACCUGGUCUCCACUAAAAAUACAAAAAUUAGCUGGGCAUGGUGGCACACGCCUGUAAUCCCAGCUCCUGGGGGGGUGGGGGGGCAGGGCUGAGGCAGGAGAGUCGCUUGAACCCAGGAGACGACAGCUGCAGUGAGCUGAGAUCACGCCACUGCACUCCAGCCUAGGCGACAGAGUGACUCUGUCUCAAAAAAAAAAAAAAAAAAGGAAUUGCAAAAACCGCAAUUACUUAAUAGAUCUGACCAAGACUCUCCCCAGGUUCAAACCCCGGCUUCAAACCUUUUGCUCCUUAUAGUCUUUUUUUAAAACUCUUAUCUGUGGCUCAUUGUGUCUCAAGACAGCCAAGCAAACCGAACUGCUAGGAAUUUUCCCAAUGGAACAUUCUCUCUGCAAGUCCUUUGCUCUUGCGGUUGCUCCUCCAGGAGCUCCUGCCUCCCUCUUCUCUUCCCUUCCUUGAGGCUCAGCAUGGGAGAGGCCCUGCUGCAGGUGCCCUCUGACCUCUCAGGUAGGGGAGGGGGCCUCUGUCCUCUGCAAACCUGCGCUGAGUGCUCUGGAUGGUUCCGUCCCUUGGAUUGGGCCUCCCCAAGGGCAAGACCCUGCCUGGUUCACCCUGGCCGCUCAUGCAGAGGCCUGCCUAACAUAGCUGCUGAAUGAAUGAAUGAAUGAAUUGAAUUGAAUAAUGGACAAAGCCCAACAGGGAGGGUUAGCAUAAAGGGGAGACAGG
rnacentral:lncRNA from 1 species